ACACACACACAUACACACUAUUAAUAUAUAUAUAUAUACCCUCUACUGACCAUGUCAUGUAUUGUAUUAUAUAUAUAUAUAUAUAUAAUUGAAUCUUCUGACAAAACCAGAAACAGUGGGUAAGAUUCCAAAUUUCUGUCUUGCAUUUAGAACACAAAGGAUCGAGAACACAGAGGAGCGAAGAGAAUACAGAGGAGCGAGGAGGACACUGAGGAGCGAGGUGAGGAGCGAGGAAGACACUGAGAAGCGAGGUGAGGAGCGAGGAGGACACUGAGGAGUGAGGUGAGGAGCGAGGUGAGGAGCGAGGAGGACACUGAGGAGCGAGGAGAACAUUGAGGAGCGAGGUGAGGAGCGAGGAGGACACUGAGGAGCAAGGAGGACACUGAGGAGCGAGGAGGACACUGAGGAGUGAGGUGAGGAGCGAGGAGGACACUGAGGAGUGAGGUGAGGAGCGAGGAGGACACUGAGGAGUGAGGUGAGGAGCGAGGAGACACUGAGGAGGACACUGAGGAGCGAGGAGGACACUGAGGAGUGAG
ensembl:lncRNA